GUGAGGAAUAUUGGUCAAUGGGCGAGAGCCUGAACCAGCCAAGUCGCGUGAAGGAAGAAGGAUCUAUGGUUCGUAAACUUCUUUUGCAGGGGAAUAAAGUGCAGGACGUGUCCUGUUUUGUAUGUACCCUGAGAAUAAGGAUCGGCUAACUCCGUGCCAGCAGCCGCGGUAAUACGGAGGAUCCGAGCGUUAUCCGGUUUUAUUGGGUUUAAAGGGUGCGUAGGUGGUUUGAUAAGUCAGCGGUGAAAGUUUGCAGCUUAACUGUAAAAAUGCCGUUGGAACUGUCGGGCUUGAGUGUAAAUGAGGUAGGCGGAAUGCGUGGUGUAGCGGUGGAAUGCAUAGAUAUCACGCAGAACUACGAUUGCGAAGGCAGCUUACUAAGCUACAACUGACACUGAAGCACGAAAGCGUGGGGAUCAAACAGGAUUAGAUACCCUGGUAGGCC
rnacentral:rRNA from 1 species